rnacentral:lncRNA from 1 species
UUAGGUGAGGUCACAGGACUUAGAGAUCAAACCCACUGCAUCUUGUUUAGUGAAGCAAUGGACAAAGUGUUGUUCGCUCACAAGCCCACUACAUCCUUAGAACAAAUAUUUUUAUAAGUAUAAAAUCUAACUAGAAACUGUUCUCUCUGUAGAUAACCAUAUCGAGCUCAAACCCUUUAGUCCGAAUCCUUGAUACAAAUAGGUUGACC